AUUGAUUGAUUGAUUUUAUUAGGAAAUCAUAAUACAAAUAUGCAGCAAUCCAAUACAAAAGCACAAUAAAAUAGAUGUAAUGUAAUGAAAUGAACAUUAGAACAUUGCUGAGUGUUAGGUAAUGUUCCAUCUUGCUAUUAAGACCUCUGUUCAAAUCUGGCUGAUGUUUUGUUUUUUUUAAUUGGAGUUGCGUGAGAGUUAGGAGGGCCAUAGCCAAAAUUCCUAAUUUUAAGUUUGGAAUAAUGACAAAAAUAAAAAUUGAAUAAAAAGAUCAUAAUUUUGAAAUUCAUAUAUUUCUCAUUGUCUUAAGCCUUUUACUCACUGCGUGCGACAGCAACGGGACGAGGAAUGCACACGAAGACGCGGAUCCAACGGAUUGUCUUUUUAAUGAGGAUCCGUUCAGAUUGCCACUAACAAUCGGCAGACAGCGUCGUCUAUCGCUCUCCGGAAGCAAAUGUGGAUUCCUUGUGCGACGGUCGUACGACGCAGUGAGUGUCCGGCUUUAUGAUUUGAUAAAUUUCCUAAUUUUGGUUGUUUACAGAAUCUCAUCAACAUGUUCAGGAUCUACAUCUCCUCUCAAGUCUUCCAAGGUUGUUUCAUCAUCUCCUUGUUACGGUGGCAUUAAACGAGGCUUGCGACACUCAGCAGCAACCAAUACUGCUUUAAAAAGCAGUGGCACAAGAACAAGUCCAAGAAUGCACCAUACUGCUCGUUCAGCAUUACGAUGACACUACACAAUGCCAGAUGCUAAGUUGAUUUCACCUAUUUAACAUGGUCUCAGCUGGUUGAUCUUGCGCACAUGUUUCUUCUGGUAUAUAAAGAUGUUUCAAGAUGUGAUUGAUUUAGGUGAAUAGUAACUAAUAAUGAUUAUCAAUUACCAAACACACAACAUUUAAUAAAUCAUUCAAUGUAGUGGUGGUUGUACCUUAGACUUAAUCUGGAAUUGAAUGUAUUGUUAAAGAUUUUAAAAUAUUGGACCAAGUAUUUUAAUUUGUUAUCAGAUUUUAUUCUAAACCAAAGAAAAUCCAGUGUAAAAUUUAAAUUGUGCAUAUCAGUUGUUGUGAUCAUAUAACUUUUUUUUUUCAUGAGAUUUGUUAACCUAUCAUAUUACAGUACAUUUAUUAUCAUUUAAUUCAUAAUUUAAUAUUUUAAAAUAAUGAACAAAUUUUAGUCAUUUUGUAUAGUAAAUAAUAGAAACUGUAUGUAAAAGCUAUGCUAAUCCAAAGAUCUCUUGGAAAAACUGUCUUUACAUAGUUCGAAAUUAUAUAUUGCAAACCUUUGUGCCUUCAAUUUGGUAAAUACAGUAAUGCAGUCCAGGAUUGUGGGUUUAACUUUUGUAAAUACAUUCUCAAGUUAUCUCUUAUAAUUAAUGUUCUUUGUAAAUUAAAAGAAGCACACACUUAUUUGGUAUAGUGUAUAUAUUUUGGUAUCAUUUUUUCUCAUGUGUCAAUUCAUUACACAUUUAUAAAUAAAAAGCACAAAUUUACUGGAUUGAUCUUUUACUAUUGUUGUGAUUACUAUUAUUCUAUUAUUAUUAUUAUUAUUAUUAUUAUUAUUAUUAUUAUUAUUAUUAUUCUUAUUGUGUAUUAUUACUAUACUGUACUCUCAUUUAUGUGAUUAUUAUUAAUUAUUAUUAUUGCUAUUGUUGUUAAUUAUUACUGCACUAUCAUUGUUGUAAUAUUUAAUAUUAUUGUUGUUACAAAGAGGUUUGUGGUACACUACACAUCAAUAGUUCUGUGAAGGACUGUUUUAAGCUUUACCUUUAUGUUGCUGUUAACACAGUUGAAAGUCUCUGUGCAGCCAGCUUUAUAAGAUUCAUAUUCGGAUCUGAAUACAAAUCUAAAUCUGAAGUGACCUGUUUGGUAGCCCAUUCAGUAACUACAUUAAUGUCACUUGCCCAUCCUCUUUUGAUCAAAAUUUUGGGCUUAAAAAUUUUGUUUUCCUUUGAUAUUUUAACUGGCCAUCCCAGAACACAACUUGAACACAACUUCACAUAAAAGGGGAUAACUAAUAAUUCAAUGACUUUAUUAUUACGUUCCAAAUUACAUAUUACAGUAACAAGUAGUGUACAUGUUAAGAUCUAUAUCUAUUUUAGUCAGUACUAGGCCUACUAGAGUUUUAAUGUUGUUAUCUUUAAACAUCUGAGCAAUACACUGUUAGUGUUAAUAAUACGGUGAGUUGUACUAGUCUACAAAGUAGAAAAGAAAAAAGAAGUUUAUUAACACAUGCUCAUGUGUACACAGUCCACUCUACAUGUUAAUGAAGGUAAACAGAAUUUGAGCUUUGGGAGGUUGGAUUACAAAAGGCUAUUGAAUCAGUAUAGUAAUGAUAAAAUAUUAUGUUGUAUUGAUUAUCUGUACCUGAGGCCCUAUAUCACAUUAUGUUCCGACCUCAGAUGUUGUGCAGUCCUGUAAGGUAGCACCUCCGUGGAGAAACUACUUUCCCUGGACCCAGGGGUGCUAGCUUACCAGAGGUUAAGUGUGUAUCAUUAUUUGCUAUUUUAUUUUUGUCGAUGUUAUUGUUAUAAAUAGGUUUGCUGUUGCUAUUCUUCCUCCUACUAGUACUUCUUCUCAUCCUUCUACUACUACUACCACCACCACUACCACUAUCUCUAUACUACUGCUACUGCUUGUUAUAAUUGUUUUUGUUAUUAUUUUUGUUACAACUAUUGUUAUUUUUAUUACUAUUAUUGAAUAUUAAUAAAAUAUUUAAAUUAAUAUUUAUACAAAUAUUAUGAAAUAAAAUCAAAAUCAAUUUUUUAAUGAUUAUAUACUAAUACUGCUACCACUACCAAUUUUUAUUUUUACCAUCAUUAUUGUUUCCACUUUGGUGUAAUCAUUGUUUUCUGAUAAAAAAAAAUAAAAAAAAAAAAAAGAAUAUUUGUAUUGUAGUGAAAAUUUUAUAUUUGAAUAUUAUCUAUGUACAGAAAAUAUUUUUGAGUGAAUAUUAUGUAGGUUAAUAGCAUUAACAUUUGUAAUAGCUUGUCUUGUAGUUUAAAUUUUUGGUCAGUAGAGAAGUGAUAAUCCCAUCAUGAACUUGCAUAUUCAUUAUCAGAAUUUUAUCAAUAAUUUGCAUGUUCAUAACCUGAAUUUUAUCAUCAGUGUAUAUAUUCAUUAAAUGGAUUCUAUAAAAAAAAUUUGCAUAUUCGCUGGAUUUUAUCAUACUUCUCAUUUGAUCAUUGAUUAUUUGCUUAUGAAUCUACUUGAAUUUUAUAAUUAACCUUUUUAUCCAAGUUUUAUUAUCAUUGAUUUUUUUUACCAAGAUUUUUCAUUUAGUAUUAUUUAUGAAAUGCUCCACAUUUGUUGAUAAAGCAUAUGUUGUGAUAUUAUUUAUUAAUCCUCCAAACUUGUUAAUGAAGCAUAUCAUUAUGUUGCGAUAUGGUUUUAUAUUGCUCCACACUUGUUGAUAAAGCAUACCAUUAUGUUGUGGUAUGGUUUAUUAAUGUUUAAUACUUGUUAAUAAAGCAUAUCUUUAAUGUUUAUUAAUGUUUGACGCUUGUUAAAAAAAUAAAACAAUAUCUUUAAAGAUGCAAUACACCAAAUAAUAACAAAAAUCAUUAAAAUCAUUUUUGAAAUUAACUUGCACAUAGCAAUUAUCAACUUAAACAUAGAAAUUGGUGAUACAGUAUUUUAAAAUGUUUACCCAUUAUUUUACAGAUCAAAAUGAUGAAAACAAGAGUCACUGAUUUUUAAAAAAAUUAUUUUUAUUAUCGUUUCCAGUAUAAAAAUCAGGGUAGACAAUUUAUAAAUUCGUUAAUAUCUACACUCAAAUUAAUUGUAUGUAUGUUACUGCAAAAUGAAAAAGUCAAUUUUGAAAUUAUCCUUUAUGAUUUUUUUGUCAUUUUCAGGGGACAAUACAUCUUUAAGGUUGUGAUAUUGUUUAUUAAUGUUGCACACUUGUUAAUAAAGCAAUCUCAUUAAUGUUUUGGUUUAUUUGUGCUCCAGAUGUGUUAACAAAUUCCUGUGAUAUAUUUCAGUAACAUUUAGUUAAUUAGCCAUACCAUCAAUGUUCUGAUAUAUUUUAUGCAUAUCCCAGAUUGGAUAAUUAGUUAACAAUAUAUUAGACUAAAUAUUUACAUAUUAAUAUAUAAUUCUAAUGUUUUUAUCCCAUACUUGUUGUUUCAGUUUUUUAAAAAAUCAUUUAUUACUGUAACAGGUUUGUGGUAUUUUUAAUAUUUUAAAAUUAAAUGUAGAUGAGAAAACCCUGUAAUAUAUGCUAGAAAUUAAAUUACCAUCUGCAGUAGUUAAAUAUGAUUUGCUUUAAUAAAAGAUGGUAGUUUAUUUGUUGUCAUAGAUUGUACAUUUUUUUUUUGGCUUCAGUAAUUAUAUUUUUUAGAAAAUGGAAUGUAAGAAGUACUGUACUUUGUCAAAUGACAUCAUAUUUUAGUAGUUGAUUUUCCAGAUUUGGUGAUGGAAAUGAGGUUACAUUUUUAAAUUGAAAGCAUUAAUGUUGCCAAUAAGUUUGUUAAAGUUACUACUAAGUAGUGUUGGUUGAAUAGAUGAUAAUAAUAAUGUAUGAAUUUA